rnacentral:rRNA from 1 species
AGGACGGACGCUGGCGGCGUGCUUAACACAUGCAAGUCGAGCGAGGCCCUUCCUUCGGGAAGGUGCCCUAGCGGCGAACGGGUGAGUAACACGUGGGCAACCUGCCCCUAGCACUGGGAUAACUCCGGGAAACCGGGGCUAAUACCGGAUAUGACCUUUGAAGGCAUCUUCGAAGGUGUAAAGGAUUCUGGCUAGGGAUGGGCCCGCGGCCUAUCAGCUUGUUGGUGGGGUAAUGGCCUACCAAGGCGACGACGGGUA